rnacentral:rRNA from 1 species
GACGAACGCUGGCGGCGUGCUUAACACAUGCAAGUCGAGCGGUAAGGCCCUUCGGGUACGACGAGCGGCGAACGGGUGAGUAACACGUGGGUGACCUGCCCUUAGCUCUGGGAUAAGCCCUGGGAAACUGGGUCUAAUACCGGAUAUGACCUCAUGACGCAUGUUGUGGGGUGGAAAGCCUUGUGCGGCUAGGGAUGGGCCCGCGGCCUAUCAGCUUGUU